CACAACUAUACGAUUUUGAUUUUUGACCACUUUGCCAUGCUUCCGUCUUGGGAUCAAACUUUGGAUAUCAAAAUGCAAAUCUACAAGUAAACACCAACAACAAAGGCUCGUAGAUUUGUUGUAGCAUUAUUGAAUUGUCAUUGUCUAUUGAAUUGUCAUUGACACAAAAACAUUAUACAGAAAAAUGCAUCUUUUAUAUGCAUGGUAUCAAUUUUAGGUUUUUUCAGUCCUUUGAAACUGUCUCAAUAGCCUUGUCUCCACGGUUGAACAGUACCCUCUGCCACUUAGUCCCACGUUUCUCUGCCAUCAUUUAUCCUCUCUCCGGUGUGACCACCACCACUUGGUUUGCAACUCACCGGCGACCACCUCAAUGAAGUUUCGCCACCAAACACUGCUGCACGUGCCCCCACACGCGUCUAACAUCCUGAUGCAUGAGACCCACGCACAUGCUCUGAUCUAUUUUUCCGUGCUUUUUUGCCAUAUCUCACUGCUGGUCGCGAUCGUCUCUAUAUUUCCCACCACUAGGCGACUGACCCUCUUUGCAUGUUUUUCAACCACCAACGCUUAUGGGUGAUAACUCCACCAACGAUUCCUCCACAUUUACCAAAGUUCCACUCAUCCGGUGCGAGAAACUAACUGUGAUAUAUUGGUCGUGAGAUAGACCCUGAGGUUUGCCAGCUGCCAUUGCACAUGUAUCUGAGACAGAAUUCAUUUG
rnacentral:lncRNA from 1 species